rnacentral:rRNA from 1 species
UACGGAGGGGGCUAGCGUUGUUCGGAAUUACUGGGCGUAAAGCGCACGUAGGCGGCUUUGUAAGUUAGAGGUGAAAGCCCGGAGCUCAACUCCGGAAUUGCCUUUAAGACUGCAUCGCUAGAAUUGUGGAGAGGUAAGUGGAAUUCCGAGUGUAGAGGUGAAAUUCGUAGAUAUUAGGAAGAACACCGGUGGCGAAGGCGGCCCACUGGAUCGGUACUGACGCUGAGGUGCGAAAGCGUGGGGAGCAAACAGG